UUUCAGCGAAACAUUAUCUUU
ensembl:piRNA 21ur-14037 ncRNA